GCCGGCCAGGAGAGGAAGUGGCCUUCUCCAAACCCAGGAGUAAGUGGCAGUCGGUGCGUCUGGGGGACUUUUUGCCAACGCCUGUCAGUGACUUAGGCUCACACGUUUUUCCGGAGCCAGCAAUUCCACUCUCAGGAAUUGACCCUACAGAAAGCCUAGCUCUGGGCACCGAGAGGCACUUAGAGGCCGUGCUCAGUGGGGGACUCUGUCGGCGCAGGACACCUCCAGAGAUAACACAGGGUGCUGGUUACCGCAAGGUGCAAUGCUACACCGGUCUGUUCCUCGUGUGAGGCACCGUCCUGCCAUCCCUGGAAGGAAGGAGGCAUAUGUGGCUCAUGGCCACUGGGAGUACAUUGUACAUUUAAAACCAAGAGCAGCCAGAGGGCUCUGCCUUCCCUCUGUCCUGUGGCCGAGAACUGGAGAUGCGGACUGGCUGUCGGAGCGCAGAGAUGACGACAUUCUAUGGGUUCCGUCUCUUGGAUUCAUUUUCCAGUUGUUCCGGAAGAGUGAAUCUACCUCCGUCUGUGCCCCGUCUGCAACUCAGUUUCUCCGUAUAACGGUGUGCGGUGUGCCGAGACCCCGCAGUUUAGGCUGUGCCUCAGAGUUGGCGGGGCAUCGGUAGUCCGUGGGGUUCGCAUUUCUGAGGAGGUAUUUUCUGAGCCUCAGUUUCCCCACCUGAAGAUGAGGGGCCCUGUGGAUUUGGCAGCAGCCCGCCCUUCUCACAGCUCGGGAAGCCUUUCUCUCUAGCCACGCCAGGGGGCGCCCUGAGCUUCCUCAGCCCUCCUUGCGGGUAGGUGAUUUGCAGGGGAGCGGCUGGUCCGCCUGGCUCCGGGGAGCCUUCUGGUAACUAGGUCGUAAACCUAGAAAACUGGUCCAGGGUUGCCCGCCCAGAGGCCCCGCUAUCCUGAGAGUCUCUGAAGAUAGAACCAUCUCAUCCCGCUGCCCUCUGCCAUGAGAAGUGGGGCCUGCAGGAGCCCCGAGAGGGCAGAAGCUUCCUGUGCCCUUGAAUCUGGUGCUGGCAAAAUAAAAGGGGAUGGAAGGAAGGAAAAAAGAAUUGGGAUGUGUA
rnacentral:lncRNA from 1 species